UAGGGAAUCUUCGGCAAUGGACGCAAGUCUGACCGAGCAACGCCGCGUGAGUGAAGAAGGUUUUCGGAUCGUAAAACUCUGUUGUUAGAGAAGAACAAGGACGUUAGUAACUGAACGUCCCCUGACGGUAUCUAACCAGAAAGCCACGGCUAACUACGUGCCAGCAGCCGCGGUAAUACGUAGGUGGCAAGCGUUGUCCGGAUUUAUUGGGCGUAAAGCGAGCGCAGGCGGUUUCUUAAGUCUGGUGUGAAAGCCCCCGGCGCAACCGGGGAGGGUCAUUGGAAACUGGGAGACUAGAGUGCAGAAGAGGAGGGUGGAAUUCCAUGUGUAGCAGUGAAAUGCAUAGAUAUAUGGAGGAACACCAGUGGCGAAGGCGGCUCUCUGGUCUGUAACUGACGCUGAGGCUCGAAAGCGUGGGGAGCAAACAGG
rnacentral:rRNA from 1 species